UGACGUCCUGGGUCACCUCGAACUGGCCGAAGGCGCCGCCGCCCUUGGCGUGGGGCUGCCGCUCCGGGAUGCGCUCCCGGUUGAAGUUGGCCAUCUGCUCGAUGAGGUAGUGAUCCUGCAGCAGGAUCGGGCCGUUGGGCCCUACCGUCAGCGAGUGCUCGACGCUCGGCGCCGGUGCACCGGCGUCGGUCGUCGUGAACUUGUCAGCCAUUGAGACUCAUCUCCUCAGUGUGGUGUGGCGGCCAUCGUGGCUGGGCCGCAACUCAGCGAGUACCCGGAAAGCGGCAGACCAAAAGGCCGAGUGUGCGGUUUCGUACGCGAAACGCGGGACGCGCGCACAAAAACCGCACACUCGGCGCUCGAGGCUUACGGGCGGGCAGGUGCCGUGGUCGACGGAGCCGCAGACGGCUGCGGAGGUUCUGGCCGGAAGCCGGGGCCUCCCGGUCCGAAGCCGGGACCCUGCCGCUCGAACCCGCCGCCCGGCCCCAUCGGGCCCAUCGGCAUCGGGAACAUCGGCGGCGGACCGCCACGAUGGACGGCCCCGAAGUCGCGGUCUCCUCCGCCGUGAUGGCCGCGGUAGCCACCACCGGAAUGUGCGCCGAGGAUGAAGCCGCUGAAGAAGACGACCGCGACGAUGAAGACGACGCCUGCCACGAUGCCGACCCACGCGGCCACCGCGUUGAGCCUCGAGCGGCGCGGCUCGCGCUCGACGUAGGCGGGUUGCGGCGAUGGAGUGGCGGUUGUCACGGGCCCCGUCGCCGGUUCAGGUGUGGACGUUGUUUCGCUCAUAACUCACGAGCAUGCAAACCCUUGUGAUGCGCUUGUAUUGAAUUGCAUAUGAAUCAGCUGUGAAUGGUGCGCCGUGCCAAAAUUGGCACAUGGCCAGCGGUCUGGUUGAGAAAUGAGCCAGGACUCGACCGUCGAGCAAGCCUUGGCGGGCGGUGCUCCGCAGCACUUCGGUUGGUACCGCUUCCACUUCUCCGACGAACGGUGGGAGUGGUCGCCGGAGGUGGCGCGCAUUCACGGCUAUGAGCCGGGGGAGGUCUCGCCGACGACUCAGCUGGUGCUGUCGCACAAGCACCCGGAGGACUACGAACAGGUCGCCGCGACGCUGGAGGAUAUCCGGCGGACGCACAGGCCGUUCAGCACCCGUCACCGCAUCAUCACCGUCGCGGGUGGGACCCGCGAAGUCGUCGUGAUCGGGGAACGCAUGCACGACAACACGGGUCGGGUGAUCGGCACGCAGGGGUUCUACAUCGACGUGACGCCUCCCGACGAGAUACAGGCGGCGAUCAUCAGCGAGGCGGUCGCCGAGAUCGCGGAGAACCGGGCUCCCAUCGAGCAGGCGAAGGGCAUUCUGAUGCUGGUCUAUCGCAUCCAGGCCGACGCCGCCUUCGACCUGCUGAAGUGGCGCUCGCAGGAGACGAACGUCAAGCUGCGGGUGUUGGCCGAACAGCUGAUCGCCGACGUCCGCGGCCUGGAAUACGGCGAAACCGUGCCCCCGCGAUCGACAUUCGACCGGCUACUGCUCACGGGGCAUCAACGCGUGCGGGCGGCGGCCGGUAGGCACACGUGAGAUCAGGAGCUGGUGCGUCGGUGUGAUUCGGCGACCGGCUUGGAUUCGGCGGAACCGCGCUGCCUCAAGAAGAUUGACAGGCCGACGAUGGCCGCGACGGCAAUGAACUCGCUCUGCCAGUUCUGCAUGGACUCGAACCAGAACUGCGAUGUCGUCAGGUAGCGCCAGAGCGAGAUGGCAGCCCGCCGUGUUGACGCUGCUCCUCGUUGAACGCCUUGACACCGCCCAUGGCGUGGAGCGCGAACGAUGCGAAGAACAGCACGAAGAACGCGAUGGCCAACGAGUGUUCGUAGAGCCGCAGUACCCAUCCGCCCUUGCGCACCGGCCAGGGCGUCCACCGGUUCGGGGUGGUGUCACGCGGAUCCUCGUCCUGGGGAGCGGGCGCGUCCAGUGGCUUCGACUCCGAGGACCCCUUCUGAUACAGGAAGGCGGUCAGCACGACGUACAUGCCCAUCUGCAGGAACUCCGAUUCCCAGUUAUCGAACGUCGCUUCGACGAAAUCACCGGUGGAGAGGUACUGCACGAUCGAAAACCUGUUCGUGGGAGCUGUGCUCCUGCUGCUCCUGGUUAUAGACGGCCCAACCCGACACGAUCAUCCCCAGAAAGAAGAGGCUGAACAGGCCGAGACAGGCCAACAGUAGGCCGUUCUCCCACAGCAGCCUCCGUACCCGACCUUGCGGCAUGCCCGCCUCCUAACCGCCGACCGAGGGCUUACCUGAAGGGUAGAAAAUCCUUCCCACCCCGCUGAUGAUUGUGGCUUCCCGGCUAUUACCCGGGCAUUGCUUGAUCAUCACGAUUACUUCAUGACGAACUCGACGACCGACGACUACGCCGAGUGGCUGCGUCUGGC
rnacentral:misc_RNA from 1 species